rnacentral:rRNA from 1 species
AGAGUUUGAUCCUGGCUCAGAACGAACGCUGGCGGCAUGGCUAAGACAUGCAAGUCGUACGAACCGUUUCUUGCUUGCAAAAGACGGUUAGUGGCGAAAGGGAGAGUAAUGCAUAGGUAACGUACCCCGAACUCAGGGAUAACAGCGGAGGCUUCGGUCUCCUUUGCGAAAGUGCUGCUAAUACCUGAUAACACCUCCGGGCCGCAUGGCCCGGGGCUCAAAGGUGGGGAUCUUCGGACCUACCGGUUUGGGAGCGACCUAUGUCCUAUCAGCUUGUUGGUGAGGUAACGGCUCACCAAGGCUGCGACGGGUAGCGGGCGUGAGAGCGUGACCCGCCUCAUCGGAACUGAGACACUGUCCGGACACCUACGGGUGGCUGCAGUAACGAAUAUUGGGCAAUGGGCGCAAGCCUGACCCAGCAAUGCCGCGUGCAGGACGAAGUCUUUCGGGAUGUAAACUGCUGUCAGGGUUUAGCAAGCAAUGGACUCUAAUAUAGUCCGGCGUUGAGCAGACCCAAAGGAAGCCUCGGCUAACUCCGUGCCAGCAGCCGCGGUAAUACGGAGGAGGCAAGCGUUGUUCGGAAUUAUUGGGCUUAAAGAGCGUGUAGGCGGCCAAGUAAGUGUCUUGUGAAAUCCCUCGGCUCAACCGAGGAACUGCUCGGCAUACUGCUUGGCUUGAGGUCGGUAGAGGUGACUGGAACUCUAGGUGGAGCGGUGAAAUGCGUAGAUAUCUAGAGGAACGCCGGAGGCGAAAGCGGGUCACUGGGCCGAUUCUGACGCUGAGACGCGAAAGCGUGGGUAGCAAACAGGAUUAGAUACCCUGGUAGUCCACGCCGUAAACGAUGCACACUAGGCUCGGGGACCUCUGACGGUAUCCGGGCCGGAGCAAAAGCGAUAAGUGUGCCGCCUGGGGAGUACGGCCGCAAGGCUAAAACUCAAAGGAAUUGACGGGGGCUCACACAAGCGGUGGAGCAUGUGGCUUAAUUCGAAGCAACGCGAAGAACCUUACCCGGGUUUGACAUGCUUGGAUGCCUCUUGGGGAUAACUCAGGUAGGCUGCCCUUCGGGGUGAAACUUGCACAGGUGUUGCAUGGCUGUCGUCAGCUCGUGCUGUGAAGUGUCGGGUUAAGUCCCUUAACGAGCGAAACCCCUAUCGUUAGUUGCCAGCGAGUAAUGUCGGGGACUCUAGCGAGACUGCCGGCGUCAAGCCGGAGGAAGGUGGGGACGACGUCAAGUCAUCAUGGCCCUUAUGCCCGGGGUUGCACACGUGCUACAAUGGCGCGCACAGAGGGAAGCAAGACCGCGAGGUGGAGCAAACCCCAAAAAACGUGCCUCAGUUCGGAUUGGAGUCUGAAAUUCGACUCCAUGAAGUUGGAAUCGCUAGUAAUCGCGUAUCAGCUAUGACGCGGUGAAUAUGUUCCUGAGCCUUGUACACACCGCCCGUCAAGUCAUGGAAGCUGGUAGCACCCGAAGUCCGUUUAGCUAACCCUCACGGGAUGCGGCGGCCGACGGUGAGACUGGUGACUGGGACUAAGUCGUAACAAGGUA